rnacentral:rRNA from 1 species
CGGGUGGAGCCUGCGGUUUAAUUGGACUCAACGCCGGGAAUCUCACCGGAUAAGACAGCGGAAUGAUUGCCGGGCUGAAGACUCUGCAUGACUAGCUGAGAGGAGGUGCAUGGCCGUCGUCAGUUCGUACUGUGAAGCAUCCUGUUUAGUCAGGCAACGAGCGAGACCCACGCCAACAGUUGCCAGCAUGUUCUCCGGAAUGAUGGGGACACUGUUGGGACCGCCUCUGCUAAAGAGGAGGAAGGAAUGGGCAACGGUAGGUCAGCAUGCCCCGAAUUAUCCGGGCUACACGCGGGCUACAAUGGGCAGGACAAUGGGUAUCGACACCGAAAGGUGAAGGUAAUCCCCUAAACCUGUCCUUAGUUCGGAUUGUGGGCUGCAACUCGCCCACAUGAAGCUGGAAUCCGUAGUAAUCGCGUUUCAAAAUAGCGCGGUGAAUCUGUCCCUGCUCCUUGCACACACCGCCCGUCAAACCACCCGAGUGAGGUCUGGAUGAGGCUGCGGUCGUUGCCGCAGUCGAAUCUGGGUUUCGCAAGGGGGGUU